AUUUGCGAGUUUGUGAGUUAGAUGACAUGUGCACAUGCUGGAAAGGUUUCUUUCCCUAAUGUGUCUGGUGCCUAUAAAACUGGUCUCAAACAUCUGGAAAGAUUGGGUUUACAAAAUAAAGAUGGAAUAAAAAGGAGUCCACAAUUAAAUAACAUGUUCAGCAAUUGGGUAAUCAGUUCACAAACUUGAAUUUCCCUGAUGUAUUGUUGAACAAACUGCCUGGAGCAGAUUUUCACAUCUACUUUCUGAAUGUUUUCCAUAACUGACAAACUCAUAUGGUCUCUUUUUUUUUUUCCUGCCUCCUGGGGAUAGAAACUUGGCAACUGUGCUUGGGGUAUUUUAAUCAGGGCCUUCCUGGUAGGGACUAGAACCGUUUCUGCUCCUUAGAGAUACACGGCUCACCGGCCUCACUGCUCGCCGUGUCCUAAUUACAGCGGCUACCGCAGUAGCUUCCAGGUAAGGGGAAACAUGAUUAAACUAAGGAAUAAAACUUCACUAAUGCACAAUAAAGAACACAGAAUGUAGGAGAGGAGAAUAAGAGACGACAAGGUGCACCAGGGGAAAGCACCACCUAAAGUUUUAAGUCAGUUUUAUUACUCUCAGUAUUUAUCACAAAUUAAGCCAAUAUAAAUACAAAACACGAGUUUUGGAGAAUGGAUCUAAGUACUCAGUGAGAACCCAUAAGCACUUAAACUAUUUGCAGACAUGAGAGUGCAAAAAUAAGAUUCCUCUAAGUGUUUAAAUAACACCCUUCCUUAAAGUUGUCAUUUCGAAGGUUUUCAAGCUGUGGUUGGUGGAUCCCUGGGAGAUACAGUACCCCUGCAGGGGGUCCACAAGCUCCAAACUAUUUUCAAGCUAAGGCUACAACGCUACUUGCAUUUUCACUGUGUCAACAUUUGCACUGAUGAUUUCAACGCAAAGGUGGGUAAAAGCCCUGGCUCCUCAGCACCAGUCAGGGUGGUACCAGCAAACCGUCCAGCAGCCGCUGCACUCUUCACCGCCACGGACAAGCAGGUAAAAAAAUCCCAGCUGCACUUAAGGAUUUCCUUGAUCAAGGAGCGAAAGCAAUUUCUUUUAUUUAAAUCUUGACCUUGGAGUGCAAGUAGGUUAAAUGCUCUGUGUGAUGAAAGUCAAGUGUGGCUGAAGUACUUCGGCUAUCACCGAGGCUCAGGGAUCAUCUCAAGGAAAAGCGCUGUGUGACUGUCCGAGUUGCGAGCAGAACUAGCUGCCUUUUUCUCAAUUUUUUACCCAAAAGAACCACUAUGAACUAUGGUUAUUCAGACUUGAGUACUGACAGCACAUAAAUGAAGUGAACCUGUCACUUCAAGGGAAAGACUGACAGUGCUUGUAGCCAACAAUAAAAUUUGAACUUUAAAGCAAAAAUUAGAAUUGUAGAGAAUUUGUCUGCCACUAUGACAAGCUUCCCAACACUCAGUUUUCUAAAGAGAUCACUGGUAAUAAUAAAUUAACAAAGGUGUGUGUGUGUGCGUGUGUGUGUGUGUGUGUGUGUGUAAUAAGUUGUGCAGACAUUUGGAAGACCUGCAUAAUUCAGUGAGACAAUAUUUCCCAAAUGACCAAUGCACGAUAUUGCAAAGUAAUAUGCGUGAAAGAUCCAAUAGAUCUUAAGGCGAGAGAGUGUUAAAAACCAGACAGCAGGCCCAAAAUGGAGUCGUUUGUGCUAAGCCCAAACAGAGACUUAACUUAAUUAGUUUCAGCUCACCCAGAAGAGGAAUCUUAAACCAGCCAAUCAGUAAUCUGCUAACGAGCACUAGCCAGGUCAUUUGCCUGAUAGACGCCAGGCAUGCCCUAAAGAAACGUGACCUUGCCACAACCAAUCCCCCCUUAGUCUAGUUGAACUUUCUUGUUCUUAUUCCCUUCUGGCUGGAAAAGUUUUUCAUUUUGUACAGUUCCCUGGAGCUCCUUUCUGUCUGCUAGAAUAGAUGCUGCCCAAUUCGUGAAUCAUUCAAGAAAGCCAAUAAGAUCGUUAAAAUUUACUCAUUUGAAUUUUGUUUUUUAACAAGAACACGGAAAGUUCAUUGACAGGGUUUCAGAUUCCACAUUGCAACUAACUUUUAAGAAACCACCACUUGUUGGUUUUUGGAGUAGUAUCAAAGCAGGGUAUCCACAACUAUCUAAAAGGCUAAUAUACAAUUCCUUCCUUUUCUGACCUCACAUGUGAAAGGCUGCAUAUUCUUUACACACUUCCACUCAAACAGUGUAUGGAAACAGACCGAAUGCAGAACAAGAUGUGAAAAUCCAGUUGUCUUCUCUCAAGCCAGACAUCAAAGAGAUUUGCAAAAAUGUAAAACAGUACCAUACUCCUCACUGACUUUUACUGUUUGUUUCAUUAGAAACAUGUCAUAUGUUAAUAUAUAAUGGGCUUCUUAUUUUUAUUUUAAAAAUAAUAAAAUUAUU